AUUGAACGCUGGCGGCAGGCCUAACACAUGCAAGUCGAACGAGUGGCGGACGGGUGAGUAAUGUCUGGGAAACUGCCCGAUGGAGGGGGAUAACUACUGGAAACGGUAGCUAAUACCGCAUACCAUCGGAUGUGCCCAGAUGGGAUUAGCUAGUAGGUGGGGUAAUGGCUCACCUAGGCGACGAUCCCUAGCUGGUCUGAGAGGAUGACCAGCCACACUGGAACUGAGACACGGUCCAGACUCCUACGGGAGGCAGCAGUGGGGAAUAUUGGGCAAUGGGCGCAAGCCUGAGGCAGCAACGCCGCGUGUAUGAAGAAGGCCUUCGGGUUGUAAAGUACUUUCGGCGAGGAGGCGUUACUCGCAGAGGAAGCAACGGCUAACUCCGUGCCAGCAGCCGCGGUAAUAC
rnacentral:rRNA from 1 species